ensembl:lncRNA
GCCUCUGCCGGCCCUGACCAGCCUGCAGUAACUGGCCCUCAGGCCGUAGUUCUUUGUCCUUAGGAGGAGGCCGUUUCUUUCCCGGAGAGAGGGAUUAGAGGGAUUGUCCGGCGUGGGUCUAGGGUCGUUGAGGCCUGAAGUUAACCCUUUGAGGGGAGGACGGAUUGGGGGCUGUGUCACUUUAAGAAAAAGAUUUGAAAAUUCGGAAGGCAGAAUUCCAGGGAGUCUCCCGGGCCUGGUUCUGAAGCUUGAGACCCCGGAUAUGUACGCUCCAGGGGGCUGCGGUGGGCUCUUCGGGUCCCCGAGCCCGGUGUUUAGGAACACGCGGGGACGUCCAAACACCCCCUCCUUUCCCGCCAGGCGGGCUCCUUUGUCUUCUGGGCUUUCGUCGCGAGACGGAAUGCUGGGUCAGUGCAUCCCAGCAAAACGUUAGGAGUAAACGAAGGCCUUUCUGGGGACCUGUGUAGUUGGUUGUAAUGGCGUUUGCCUGGGAUGCAGCACCUUUGGUGGGCCAUUGGAUGUCGUGUCGCUUCUCCAGGGGCUUGCUAGGCAUUAGCUGAAAUGCCGUCCUGUGCUUACGCGGUGUUAUGGAAGAUUGCUUUGCACGAUGCUCUUCGUACGAAAGGAUAUUAUUAAAAGUGAUUUAUGGCCGGGCGCGGUGGCUCACGCCUGUAUUCCCAGCACUUCGGGAGGCCGAGGCAGGCGGAUCGCCUGAGCUCAGGAGUUCGAGACCAGCCUGGACAACAUGGUGAAACCCUGUCUCUACUAAAAAUACAAAAAUUAGCCGGGCGUGAUGGCAUGCGCCUGUAAUUCCAGCUACUCGGGAGGCUGAGGCAGGAGAAUCGCUUGAACCCGGGAGGCGGAUGUUGCAGUGAGCCGAGAUAGCGCCACUUCGCUCCAGCCUGGGCGACAGAGUCAGACUCCAUCUCAAAAAAAAAAAAAAAGUGGUUUGUUAUUUUGUUAGCAUGUGAGCCCUGGAUGCUUGAAAGCAAGUGAAAGAUGUUCCGAAUCUAAUCAAAUUAUAUCAUUUGAUGCUUUAAUUAGAGCCUAUUCUCUUUUCUUCUCCAUCUAUAUAUGUAUGUAUAUAGAUUACUAUCCAUCACUGUUUUAAUGGAUAUCUUAUUGGAAGGGAUACAUAGUCACUAUUUCAAAAUAUAUGAACUCCGCAUAACACCUAUGCCAAAACAUUUCAGCACUCAGAUAAAGUUCAUUUUUAGCCACAAAAUCACUUAAAAACAGGCCAGAACUUUAUAUAGAUAGCUCUUAUUACUAUCCCAGUAGCUGGGAUAAUAAUGAAACAAAAAGAUGCAGCAGGACUCCAUUUCAAAGGGAUAGAGUCUAUGUGUCCAACUUCAGAGUAAGAAACCACUAGGUAAUAGUUUAUAUAGUUACUUACAUGUAAUGUGGCUUUAUUUUUUUAUAAAGAUCUGCAUGUAAUUGUUUAUAUCUGUGAAUUCAUAUUUAAUAUUAAACACAGUUUUGUAAACAUGUAAGAUGGAAAAUGAAUGAAAUGCUCUAUCAAUGAACUGUAUGCCGUGAGGAUUCAAAACAGCACUUUCGUGUUGCCAAAAUUCCAGUGUGGACUUGUGAAGGAAUUCCCUUUGGACUAGGUCCACUGUAGAUUGUAUCCGGGACUAUUGUUAGUGCCUAAAUUGCAUUGCUUCCCACAGUGCUAUAUACUUCCCUUAAAAUUGGCCCAUUGCCAGUGGCAAAUCGCUAUCUACUGUGAUCCUUAUCAUAGACAUUGGUCAUAUUUUUACGUUAUUAGUUUUCUGUGUAUAUUUUAGUGCUAUAGCCUGCCAUUCCAAAUUAAACAUGCUCUUAGCAUAUCGUUUUACAUCGUUGAUCUAUAAUUCAUUACCUGAGCACAUGAGCGGAGGCAGUGAAUUAUACAGUGGUAAACUACUUGGUGAAACCAUGCUUUGUAUUUUUAAGAUGUAUAAUUAUAUUUAAAAACAA